rnacentral:rRNA from 1 species
UACGUAGGUGGCAAGCGUUGUCCGGAAUUAUUGGGCGUAAAGCGCGCGCAGGUGGUUUCUUAAGUCUGAUGUGAAAGCCCACGGCUCAACCGUGGAGGGUCAUUGGAAACUGGGGAACUUGAGUGCAGGAGAGAAGAGUGGAAUUCCACGUGUAGCGGUGAAAUGCGUAGAGAUCCGGAGGAACACCGAAGGCGAAGGCAGUGUCCUGGCGAGUGACUGACGCUGAGGUGCGAAAGCCAGGGGAGCGAACGGG